ACCCCGCACAAGCGGUGGAUCAUGUUGUUUAAUUCGAUGAUACGCGAAGAACCUUACCAGGUCUUGACAUCCCCCGCGAUGCUUUAGAGAUAAAGCGGAGGUAUUCGGGGAGACAGGUAGUGCAUGGUUGUCGUCAGCUCGUGUCGUGAGAUGUUGGGUUAAGUCCCGCAACGAGCGCAACCCCUGCAUUCAGUUGCCAUCGGGUGAAGCCGGGCACUCUGGAAGGACUGCCAUCGACAAGAUGGAGGAAGGUGGGGACGACGUCAAGUCAUCAUGGCCCUUAUGUCCAGGGCGACACACGUGCUACAAUGGCCGGCACAACGGGAAGCGAGUUCGCGAGGACGAGCGGAUCCCUUAAAGCCGGUCGCAGUUCGGAUUGAAGUCUGCAACUCGACUUCAUGAAGCUGGAAUCGCUAGUAAUCGCAGAUCAGCCAAGCUGCGGUGAAUACGUUCCCGGGCCUU
rnacentral:rRNA from 1 species